rnacentral:rRNA from 1 species
AUGAGGAACCAGGAGUGUCAUGCUAUUCGAAGGCCUGGAGAUGUGACCUGGAACGACGAUGGCUAUUUCUCGCAAAACCGAAAUCUCAGCGGGGAGAAAGGAACUAUUGAUUCUCAUUUCACCAUGGAUAUAAUUGAUACUACUGGGGUCACUACUGGUAUCAAUGAGUAUGCCAAUCUUUUUCAGUGGGCUAAAUCUGCUAUUUCAUCCAAAUGGAGAGGCACUCAGGAGCAAGAGCUUCAAAAUAAACUAUUUCAGCUGCAGAGUGGCUUGCAACACCUCAGUGAUACUCUUCCAGAGAUGUAUGACCUCAUUAAUCGAGUGGAAUGGAGAAGCCACAAAGAUGGUGUGACCGAGCUCCUUCCAAAACUCAAGGACACAGUUUACAAUGUUGAAGAUCUUCUUGAUGAGCUCAGAUGGUACAACCAUAAGGUGAUAGUGGAGGGAAAUGCAAGGCAGUCAUCUUUUACUGACUUCUUUAAUAGCUUUACCAGUGUGAAUGAUAUCCAAAAAAGGUUGGAUCUUAUUUCCAAUCACCUAGAGAAGAAGGGGUUGGGUGAAGUAACACCGCGGUUUGAGAAAACAGUCAGGUCAGAAACUAGCUCUUUUCGCAGUGAAACAAAAAUAUUUGGUCGUGACAUGGUGCUAGAGCAGAUCUUGGGACUGCUCGAUGAAAACGGCCAGUGCUGGAAGAGACUUUGUGGACCUCUGAAAAAUCUGGUACGGGGAAGUAUGAUGUUAGUCACCACAAGAUCUCCAAAGGUUGUUGAUUUAGUGCACACUAUGGAGCCCAUUAUACUAGAAGGCUUAAAGGACGAUGUCUUUUGGAAUUUCUUCAAACUAUGCGUGUUUGGGUCUGAGAGUUCUGACAAUUUUCCUGAGUUAGAGCUCAUUGGUAGAGAGAUACUUCCUAAGUUGAAGGGCUCCCCUUUAGCCGCUAAAACUCUUGGACGCAUGUUAGGACAUGACCUUCAUACAUCACAUUGGAAUAAUAUACUAAAGAGUGAACUGUGGGAGUUGGACCAAGAGAUGACCGAGAUUUUGCCAGCCCUUCGGUUGAGCUACAUGUAUUUACCAUUCCACUUGAAGAGAUGCUUUUCAUUCUGUGAUGUGUACCCCAAAGAUAAGGAGUUUGAAAAGGGCCAUUUAGCUGAAAUUUGGGCAGCAGAAGGCUUUGUGAAACGUCAAGGUGUUAUUCCAGUUCAAGAAAUUGGCUCUCAAUACUUUAAUGACCUAUUAAGUCGAUCCUUCUUUCAAGAAGUUCAAGGCAAAUACUUAAUCCAUGACUUGUUGCAUGAUAUGGAACAAAAAGUUUCAGAGGAUGACUGUUUCAUCGUGAAAAACAAGGAUGACAUCGAAAGAAUUCCUCAUAAUGUUCGCCAUUUGUCAGUACUAUCUAGCACAGACAUCAGCAAUUUCCACUUAUUGAGCCUUCGCAAGUGCAAAAGGCUACGUACCCUUCUCUGCAACAAAUCUUUAGCAAAUAAAAAAACUCCAGCUAGUUUGAUGGAUGCUUGGUGCAGUGAACUUACGCGUAUGCGCGUGAUUGUUUGUGCCUCCAUUAAUGAGUUACCAGCUAGCAUUGCCAAAUUGAAGCAUCUUCGGUACAUUGAGGUAUCCAGAGCGUGUUCUAUCACCACUCUUCCAGCAACGAUUUGUAGGCUCCACAAUAUACAGGUCAUAUGUGUUAAGAAAACAAUCAUACAUAGUUUGUGCGAUAGUACGGUGGUGGUGGAUCCCGUGGCAGUGGCGGCCAGUACGGAGGCGGCGGCGGCGGAUAGUAUGGUGGUGGCGGUGGCUACCACAACGGCGGCAACAAUCAGGGCGGUGGCGGCGGCUACCACCCAAACAACAGUGGUGGCAGCGGCUAUCCGGGUGGCGGCGGCGGCUACCACAGUGGUGGUGGUGGCGGCUAUCCUGGUGGGGGUGGCGGCUACUACCAGGGCAACCCUCGCGGUGGAAACAACAGGCUCCCCCCCGGCAACAAUAAUCGGGGGCGCAAUUUCCAGGGCUACGAAGGAUACGAAGGGAAGUGCCAAAUCUCCUCAUACAAAGAACAAAUCAGUUUGCUGCAACAGCGUUGUCAUGCCCCCAGCUCCUGGUGCAUCAACAAACAAGAGCACUGAUGGGUCAAAUCUAGCUGGGCCAGCUCUGUUUCUAGGGUACAGAACACUCGAACCAGGAAGGCCAAUAUAUGGAACUGACCCACCUGCGUGUGGUGAUUGGGCUCACCCUGUUGGAUCGCUGUCACAAGGUGUUUCCGUGUAUGAUCUGGGCGGCCGCAGCGCAACGAAUAAAUUAGAGUCCAGAGGUGGCCGGGAGCCGUGCGGUGAAGCUGAAGCAUCCACCGAUCCAUUCUGCAACCCGUUGGGAGCCGCGAUAGCAGAAGGUAAUACACGCCAAACCUACCCUGUUAAGUCCCUAACUCGACGCGCGAGGAAGACAAUCGAGGAUGACGGCGGCCGAGAGGCUGACCUAGAGCGGGUGGGAAUCGUGACCGAGGAGCAGCGGGCUAGCAUCGCCGCUUCGUCGCCGGAGGAGAAGGAGUGUCCUUGCAUUGCCGCUCGCGUCUUCAUCACCGGAGGCGGAGGAGAGAGCCCGCCCGCAUCGUCGCCGCUCGAGGUUCUUGCUUUGCGGCCGCGUAUGGAAGAAUUUAUGAACUCGAUAUUAGACCAUCUCUAG